rnacentral:rRNA from 1 species
AGUUGCGAACGGGUGAGUAACGCGUAGGUAACCUGCCUGAUAGCGGGGGAUAACUAUUGGAAACGAUAGCUAAUACCGCAUAAGAGGUAAUAACACAUGUUAUUAGUUUAAAAGGGGCAACUGCUCCACUAUCAGAUGGACCUGCGUUGUAUUAGCUAGUUGGUAAGGUAACGGCUUACCAAGGCGACGAUACAUAGCCGACCUGAGAGGGUGAUCGGCCACACUGGGACUGAGACACGGCCCAGACUCCUACGGGAGGCAGCAGUAGGGAAUCUUCGGCAAUGGGGGCAACCYUGACCGAGCAACGCCGCGUGAGUGAAGAAGGUUUUCGGAUCGUAAAGCUCUGUUGUAAGAGAAGAACGGAUGUGGGAGUGGAAAAUCCAUGUCGUGACGGUAUCUUACCAGAAAGGGACGGCUAACUACGUGCCAGCAGCCGCGGUAAUACGUAGGUCCCGAGCGUUGUCCGGAUUUAUUGGGCGUAAAGCGAGCGCAGGCGGUUUCAUAAGUCUGAAGUUAAAGGCAGUGGCUUAACCAUUGUACGCUUUGGAAACUGUGAGACUUGAGUGCAGAAAGGGAGAGUGGAAUUCCAUGUGUAGCGGUGAAAUGCGUAGAUAUAUGGAGGAACACCGGUGGCGAAAGCG